rnacentral:rRNA from 1 species
UUGGAGGGCAAGUCUGGUGCCAGCAGCCGCGGUAAUUCCAGCUCCAAUAGCGUAUAUUAAAGUUGUUGCAGUUAAAAAGCUCGUAGUUGAACCUUAGGCCCGUGCGGGCGGUCCGUCCUCAGGGCGAGCACUGCCUCGUCGCGGGUCUCACCUUCUGGCGAGCGUGGAUGCCAUUCACUUGGUGUCUGCGGGAACCAGGACCUUUACCUUGAAAAAUUAGAGUGCUCAAAGCGGGCUCUUACGCUUGAAUACAUUAGCAUGGAAUAAUGAAAUAGGAUGACUGUUCUAUUUUGUUGGUUUCCGGGAUGGUCGUAAUGAUUAAUAGGGAUAGUUGGGGGCAUUCGUAUUCAAUUGUCAGAGGUGAAAUUCUUGGAUUUAUUGAAGACGGACUACUGCGAAAGCAUUUGCCAAGGAUGUUUUCAUUAAUCAAGAACGAAAGUUGGGGGAUCGAAGACGAUCAGAUACCGUCGUAGUCUCAACCAUAAACUAUGCCGACUGGGAAUCGGGCGAUGUUAUUUUCAUG